rnacentral:rRNA from 1 species
AUGUCCUUGGUGGCAGAUCGAAGAAAACCUGAGCUGGUGCUUCCGGCACGAGCAACGCCGCGGGAGACUCUGGCUCUCUCCGACAUUGACGACCACAGAGACCUGCGGUACCUGCAGCCCGCCGUCGAGUUCUUCCGUAUCGUAGAUGGCCACGGACGGCCUACCAAGGCAGUUUUCAGGGCUGCCCUGGCGGAGGCGCUGGUGCACUACUACCCGCUUGCAGGCCGUCUCCGGGAGGCUCCCGGGGGCAGGCUAGUCGUGGAGUGCACCGGGGAAGGCGUGGUGUUCGUGGAGGCGGAGGCGGCUGUGUCCUUGGAUGAGCUCGGCGAGCCGCCGCUGCCAGCAUGCACGUUCGUGGAACAACUGCUGUGCGACGUGGGCGACGCUAGGGUUGUCAUCGGAGUUCCCUUGUUCUUCAUGCAGGUAACCCAACUCAGAUGCGGGGGAUUUGUGAUUGGUCUUCACAUAUGCCACAAUAUCGCGGACGGCUACGGCAGCACCCAAUUCCUGAAAUGUGUCGCUGACUUGGCAUGUACCGAGGGUGACGCCUCCCAAAUUGUAUCGCCGGUGUGGAAUAGGGAUCUCCUAACAGCACGCGUCCCUCCACACAUAAACCCGGCCUACGAGGAAUUCCUCCAACGAUUAGGCACCACCGCCGACGACAUCAUGUUGUCAACACCGCCGGAGGAAAUGGCCGGCCGCUUCUUCCUCUUUGGCCCAGGGGACAUGGCAUCGCUACGAAGGCAUGCCCCGGUGCACCUUACACCGCCAGUCACCAGCUUCGAGCUUCUGACUGCGGUCAUGUGGCGUUGCCGCACAGUGGCGCUCGGCUACGAGCACCACCAGCGGGUGCGCCUGAUGUUUUCUCUAAAUGCGCGUGGGAGGUGGAAGCGUCAUGCGCUCGUCCCACGUGGGUUCUACGGAAAUGCGCUCUUCUACCCUGCGGUAGACACGACCGCCGAGGAACUAUGCUUCAACCCGCUUGGCUAUGCGCUCAAACUCGUCCGCGAGGCCAAGCGUGACAUGACAGACGACAACAUGGAGUCCAUGGUGGAUUUCAUGGCGUCUAUGCGUGGGCGGCCACCUCUCACCAUGGACAGAAUGUAUGAGGUCUCUGACAUCAAGUGGGUUGGACAGGACGCGCUAGACUUUGGAUGGGCGAAGCGGGUUGACGGCGGCGUACCCAUGGUUGGGGACAUUGCCUGCAAGUCUGUGAGCUACCACAUGAGGUGCAAGAAUGGAAAGGGUCAUGACAUGAUCGCGGUAUCCAUGCUAUUGCCAGGACCUGCAAUGGACAAGUUCGAGAAGGAGAUUGAUGUUUGGGUGAACAACGAAAACUAG